rnacentral:rRNA from 1 species
UACGGGGGGAGCAAGCGUUGUUCGGAUUUACUGGGCGUAAAGGGCGCGUAGGCGAUUUGAAAAGUCUUGUGUGAAAGCCCCGAGCUUAACUCGGGAAGUGCACAAGAAACUGUUGAAUUUGAGUUCCGGAGAGGAAGGCAGAAUUCCCGGUGUAGCGGUGAAAUGCGUAGAUAUCGGGAGGAAUACCAGUGGCGAAGGCGGCCUUCUGGACGGAUACUGACGCUGAGGCGCGGAAAGCCAGGGGAGCAAAGCGGG